CCUACGGGAGGCAGCAGUAGGGAAUCUUCCACAAUGGGCGAAAGCCUGAUGGAGCAACGCCGCGUGGGUGAAGAAGGUCUUCGGAUCGUAAAACCCUGUUGGUAGAGAAGAAAGUGCGGGAGAGUAACUGUUCACGUUUCGACGGUAUCUAACCAGAAAGCCACGGCUAACUACGUGCCAGCAGCCGCGGUAAUACGUAUGUGGCAAGCGUUAUCCGGAUUUAUUGGGCGUAAAGGGAACGCAGGCAGUCUUUUAAGUCUGAUGUGAAAGCCUUCGGCUUAACCGGAGUAGUGCAUUGGAAACUGGGAGACUGGAGUGCAGAAGAGGAGAGUGGAACUCCAUGUGUAGCGGUGAAAUGCGUAGAUAUAUGGAAGAACACCAGUGGCGAAAGCGGCUCUCUGGUCUGUAACUGACGCUGAGGUUCGAAAGCGUGGGUAGCAAACAGGAUUAGAUACCCGGGUAGUC
rnacentral:rRNA from 1 species